ensembl:Y_RNA Y_RNA Y RNA
GGCUGGUCUGAAGGUAGUGAGUUAUCUCAAUUGUUCACAGUCAGUUACAGAUUGAACUCCUUGUUCUACUCUUUUCCACCUUCUCACUACUGCACUUGACUAGUCUAAA